rnacentral:lncRNA from 1 species
UGCGGUAUUGACACCCUUCUAAUUAGGGUUUCAUAAUGGACCCCAACACUACUAUAUUGCGUUAUAUGGCACAUGUAGGUUUGAAGACUACUUCCCAUAAUUUCAGUUAUGGAUCAGGACUGUCAGAUACAAUCAUUCAGUCUUAGUAAUAGAACUCAAAUAGUUCUAAAGAAUUCAGGACUUUCAGAUGCAGUCACCUCAAAAAAGAAUAAAACUC